ACUGGAUAUGCAUCAGAGACUGGAACAAUGGCCUAUACCCUGGUCUUUCAGUUGUCAAGAUGCCGACUAUCAGCAUAGACUCUCUACCUGGGGGUCAUCACAUUCCUAAGGAACUCAAAAGAACAAAGUUAUCCACUUAUAGCAGCUGAGAGGGGCCAUAAAAUCUACAGAGCAUGUCUGGUUUGCUGUUCCAGAUCAUAAGACUUGUUGCCUGCAAUUCAGCCAUAGCAACGUUCGCCUUGCUGUGUAAACCCAAACAAACGGGCUCCUUGUAACAACCAAGCCUGAAGUGGGAGGCUUAACCCUCUGCCGGCUGCUGACUUUGGAGACUCUGAGCCCCAGUCAUGUUUCCUCCCCAGAAAUACAGAUAUAACUAAGCUGUUUGAAUUGAGACCUGGAGGUGCAAUCUGGGAGAGUCCUUGAGGAGGCCACUGCGGGAGUCCAGGAGAAAGGCGAUGGGGUUUGUGUAAGGGUGAUGUCGCUGAGAUGGAGCAUAUGGUUUGGAGAGAUGUUUAGAAGAAAUCAAGCUCCGUGACAACAGGGACCCCCUGUGUGUCCCAUCUGCUGUAUCUCCAGUACCACAAACAGAGCUGUUCUAUUGUUUCUCAGUCAUUGCAUGUUAACUGAAUACACGAUGAGACCUAGGAGAGAGGCAAGCAGUCCUUCUUAGCCUCCGGACUUUCUAUUUAAUUCGUUGAGUGUCGGCUCUGUUCUCAGAUCAUCAUUUUAAGCGGAAACAAACAAACUCAGAGAAGGAGUGAUUUUCCCAAAGCUGCCAUGCAACCAAUAUGAUUCAAACCCAGUUCCUGCUCACGCGCAUCAUGACCACAACAGGUCAGAGCCUAAAAGUGUGAUUUAAAGAAACAGCAAAAGAAGUGCUCUAUCGAGAUCCCGGGGCAGCAGCCUCACCCAGGGAGAGACAGGCUACGAGCUGAGGUUGUCUCACAGCCAAGGAGGGAGAAAUCCA
rnacentral:lncRNA from 1 species